AUUGUUUUUUUUUUUACAUCUUCAAACUCGCAUGUGAGUUGCGCGCGCUCAAGCGGUUUUGGGACUUCUUAUGAGAAUCCAACAUCCAAUGACAUUGGAAUGAAAUAUUUUCAUAUUAUAUACUCUGAAAUUGAAGUAUUUUAGUGCGGCAAUGGUGAUUAAUAUCGACUUUGCGAAGCCAAAUAAUGAAAUAAAAUACAAACUUACUUUAAUUUUUGACAACAUUUAAUGGAAAAAACACUAAUAAUUAUAAUAAUAAUAUGUGAAAAAAUAAGUCGGAGAAGUGACAUUCAGUGCUAAAGUGCCGAAGUAUAAUGGAAUUAGGAGAUGGCCCGAAGUAUUGUGCCAAGCUAUAAACUCAAAAAAAGAUUUAAAAAUCUACAACCAAGUUCAUCGCCUCAUGAUUAUCAUCUUUAAACACGAUAGAACGUCUUCAAAGCAUGUGGAAUGGACAAUAGUAUACAAAAAGAUAUCGAUGUGUCGGAAACACGAGAAGAUGAAAAAACUACAAAAAAAACACAACCGACCGGCCAACCUGUUGCGGGAGACAUUUGGUCGUAGCGGCUGUUGACUUUUUGGUAAGCGUUCAUAAUUCGUGUUGGACAUAAAAAGUGGUGGUUUUAAAAAAUAAAUACUGAUGCAGUGCGUGGAACAUUUCAUUGCAUUAAAGGUGCUCCAGUACUUAUGUGCAUUGUUUACGAAUAAUUGUAAUUGCAUACCGUUGCUAUAUUUAUCAUGCUGUUUUUAAAGAGG